rnacentral:rRNA from 1 species
AAGUACUCCUUACCGACCGAUAGCGCACCAGUACCGUGAGGGAAAGGUGAAAAGCACCCCGACGAGGGGAGUGAAAUAGAACCUGAACCGGAUGCCUACAACAGUCGGAGCCCGCAAGGGUGACGACGUACCUUUUGUAUAAUGGGUCUGCGACUUAGUCUGGCGAGCAAGCUUAAGGCGAUAGCUGUAGGCGAAGCGAAAGCGAGUCUGAACAGGGCGUUCAGUUCGUCGGACUAGACCCGAAACCAGUCGAUCUAUCCAUGGCCAGGUUGAAAGCAGGGUAACACCUGCUGGAGGACCGAACCGGUGCCUGUUGAAAAAGUCUCGGAUGAGCUGUGGAUAGGGGUGAAAGGCCAAUCAAGGCUGGAAAUAGCUGGUUCUCCGCGAAAUCUAUUUAGGUAGAGCCUCGAGUGAAUACCCCAGGGGGUAGAGCACUGGAUGGGCUAGGGGCCCCCACAGGGUUACCAAACCUAACCAAACUCCGAAUACCUGGGAGUACUGCUCGGGAGACACACGGCGGGUGCUAACGUCC